UCAAAAUACAGAUACUUUUACAACUGAAGUGAAACAAGUGAUUCAAGUAUAACAUUACUUGUUUGACUUUUCCAGCAACCAUACACAACCUUAAUUAUGUCUACGGAGCCUCUAAUAGAUACGAAAGAUUACUAUAAUAAUGCUGGCAAUAAGGCCCUGGAUAUACCUCAAACACAAUACACGAGGAACAAAGAUACAUGACCCCAAAAUGAAGUAUGUUUCACCAAAUCUACUAGGAAGGGAGAGUACCACUAUCACUGAUCAAUGCUACCUGAUGCGGAAUCACAUGCAUCCAUUAAAGAUGCAGCGCCCCAGACAAAAAGGACGUUAGUACAUGAUGAGUAGUACUAGUAUGAAAAACCAACACCCGUUCAAGGAUUUGGAAGUACAACAUGAAUGUGAUGAAUCCUGGAAAUAAUAAAAGAGGGCUCAGAUAACUUAUAACCUUUAAAGCUAUAGCAAAUUUAUUAAAAACUUUAACAUUUAUAAAUUUUAAGUCAGAGAUCCUUUGUAAAAACCUUUACACAAAGCGACCCUACCGCCUCACCCCAAUGUAUACCAGUGGGGAUGCAAUCACCAUACCACAAUCUUUAGACAAAGCGGCCCUACCGCCUUACCCAGUGAGUGCGGGUGGAGGUGUAUCCUCAGUAUUAUAGUCUCUACACCAAGCGACAUUGUUGCCUUACCUUAAUGUAUGCGGGUGGAGGUUUAAUCACAUUACUACAACUCUACAUAAAAAGGUAAUGCCGCCCCACCUCAAUGUAAGCGGGAUCACAAUUUGGAUUCUCAAAACGAUAACAGUUUGUACAAAAGAUUUCCUUUCAAAUCAAACCCUUUGGCCCCUUGGGACUUAACAAAAAUAUAAAUUCAUACGAUUUAAUCAUAUGGGAAAUAAGAAUUUGAUCACAUUGAUUUCAGUCAAAACUUUUUCCCUAAAAUGGAUAUAAUAUAGUUAAGUCAAAAUAGAGAAUCAUUAACACAUGAGGGUUCUAACACGUAAUGACAAUCAAUAAUCGACUUACUAGCUCGAACAUCCCACAUCAGUAGCGUUUCAAGUUUGAACUACACCCGAUUGGAGUUUCGUAAAAAUACAGGAAUUCCGAUACUAGAAAAAGAGUUUAGCCUUCAUACCUCGAAAGAGCUUUAUGUGGUGUAACAAUAACGUCCCAACACUCCUAACAAUGCCAAUAUAUAGAGGAUGAGAGAAUUAUAACCACAAUUAGAAGAAUCCAUAUGGAAAGAGAUGCUAAGGUGAUGACCCAGCCAUUUCCCGAUAAUUCAACAACGAAUCCCAUCCAAGAUGUUAAACAACUUUCCCACAAUCUGUAUUAGCUCAUGCAUGUGAUAAAUCUACUCUUAUCACCCAUAAUCAACUUAAAUCCGAAAUGGAAGAAUUGGGGGAAGAAAUUCUUACCUUUUUGAAUCCCUAGCAAGUUCCUUUUAGUGAAAUUUCAAGGCUUGAUCCAAGUUGAGUAGUGAAAUCCUUGAGUACUCUCCUUUCUGUAUCUAUAAUAGCUCUCAUGUCUCUCAAAAAAUAUCAUAUGAAACCCUAAAAAAUGACCCCCAAAGUCUUUUACGAAAAUAGGAUCGGGUAAAAUUCCAAAUCUUAAACUUGCCGAAUUGGGUCUGCGGUCGCAGACUUUACCGCAUAAUUGCAUUGCAGCCCGCAAAAAUGAAGCACAAAAACUGUACUUGCCUAGACUAGUAUGCGACAGUUCUGCCGUCCGCGAAUCUUUUCUGCGACUGCAGACUAGACCGCAGAAUAACCUUCCAAAUUUUCUCGUGCCAAGUUUAUGACUGAAAUGUAGUACGCGAAGUGAAUAUGCGAUCGCAUAAUGCACCGCAGAAGUGACCUUCAAAAAUAAACAAUUUUUCUGCUCAAUUGUGUGAUGGCUAUGCGGCCUACAAACCCCUUUUUAGCGGUCGCAAACUUGACCACAGAAUCACCUUCUUUUGUCAAAAUAUUCCACAAACUCCCCGAGAUACUGUACAACCCAAAACGUUUGUACCGUGGCGAGCCAAUUUUUACAAUCCUCAAACACAUUAGCUUGCCCCGGCAGCGCAAAACCUCAGGUUCUAGGUGAAAUUUUACGGGGCCUUACAAUAGUUAUCACAAAUAACAUAGACAACUAGUGCCUUAACUAAGUUUAGGUAAGAUGCUUACCUCAAGCAAGGAAAAUCACUCCUCUAACAAGACUUUUCCAAGUGUCUCAACCUCUGUAUGGCUCGAAUCUAGCGAAAAUAACUUAAUACCAUCAAUAAUAGACGUAGGAAACAAUUUCAAGCGAUAAAGCUAAAGUAUUUAAUCAAAUAUGCAAAUUCUACCCAAAAAGUCAAUCCCAGGUCUGCUCCCAAGAACCCGAUAUAUUUUAUAAUUUUCGAAUACCCAUUCAAUUACGAGUCGAACCAUGCCAAUUUCAUCCACAAAUAGAACCUCAAAUCACCAAAUCUCAAUCUCCAAUAACAUAGCCUAAAAUUUCACUUCAAAUUCACAUAAAUUAGGAAUAAUAAUGAAUGGGUAAUUAAUAUCUAGCACCAAAAGUGAGUAAAAUUCACUUACCAAAAAAAAAAGAGGAGUGAAGACCAAACCCUCGAUGUAUAAUCCUAUACAGCAAAUCCGCAUCUGUGGUCCAAUAGGUAGCACCUGCAACUCCGCAUCUGCAAAACUCCCAUCGCAGAUACGGAACUCAUUAAGUUCCAGACCAUAUGCACCUACAGUCGACUAGUCGUUUCUGCACAACAUCGACUGCACCUGGGAUUUCCUCCAAGUGCCCUACCUUUCGCUUCUGCGGAGCUCCUUCGCAUCAGUGACUCCGUCCUAUGCACAUCCCAUGCGCAAACGUUUAUGCACACAUCUAUCUACACAUGUGGAAUUCCCUUUCCAGGCUCAUCUUUGCACCUAUGUUUCCCCAGCCGCAUAUGUGGCCAAGCCCAACACAUAUGCGAAAACAUCAUAAAUCAGAAUCCCUUAGCUAUUUCUUCAAGUCCCAAAAUGGUCUGAACUCAACCCGAAAGUCAUCUUAUGGCCUCAACCAAGCAUAUUAACACGUCAUAAAACACAGUACGAACUCACGUGAAGCCGAAUUUCACAUCAAAUAACACCAAAAUCAUGAAUUGCACCCCAAUUCAAACCUAAUAAAACUAAUGAACUUCCACCUUCUAAAACUCAUUUCAAUCCAUACCAAAUCAACUCUGAAUAAUCUCAAAAUUUGCAAACUACUCUCAUAUGACAAAACAAACCUAUUUCAAUUUUCGGAACAAAAAAUCCGAACCUAAUAUCAACAAAGUCAACUCUCAGUCAAACCUCUUAGCCUUCCAAACUUUCAGUUUUUCAACUUUCGCCAUAAAGCAUCAAACCAACCUACGCACCUCCAAAUCAAUAUCUAGACAUACUCCUAAAUUUAAAGUCACCAUAAAAAGCUAUUGGAGCCAUCAAAAUACCGUUGUGGUGUCGUCUACACAAAAGUCAAAUUCUGGUCAACUUCUUUCAAUUUAAACCUUCAACGUUGGGACUAAGUGUCCCAAUUCACUCAAAUACCUCCCCAAAACCAAUCCAAUCACCCCUGCAACUCACAUAACCACAAAUGAAUAUAGAUUAAGCAACAAAUAGGGGAAUAAUAUUGGCUGAGUCAAAACGAUCAGCCGAGUCGUUACAAUAUCACUCUGGCCUAACACGAUAACAAUAUCCAAAUGUAUCUCUCUCCGACAUGAUAAUAUCCAUCUAUAUCACUCUUCCCUAACACAAUAACAAUAUCUAACUGUAUCGCUUUGUCCUAACACAAUAAUAAUAUAUAAUUGUAUCGAUCUACCAUAACACAAUGUCAAUUACAAUUGUAAAUCAAAAUCCUCAUGCUAACACCUAAGAGAUCUGCUUACAUGUCCACAUAUUCCAUAAUAAUCACACAAAAAAUGCCAAGUUUCACCACGGAUAUAAGUUCAUAAUUUAUCAACAAGGUGCACAAAGACAUAAAAAAGUAAGAUGUGGAUGGCGUUUAACAUAUAAAGCAUUACUACAGCUAAAACAAUUGUAGUAAUCAAGUUUAUGUCGUCACCUAGUGAUUAAGAACAUUUCAUAUGAAAUAUAUCCUCAAAUUAAGGCAUACUAAUAGGCUAAGACGUAAUCUGUUAGUAAGCCACACACAGCACUCAUGUAUAUACUUUAUCACCUCGUGUAUAUGUAGCUUUUCACAUAACAUGAAUAAUAAUUAAGGCCAAAUCCAAAGGGGAAUUUCAUCACACAAAAUUAGGCAUGAAAUUUACCUCAAACAAGCCAAAUAAAUAUUAAAAAGCCUCUGCCUCUCGAAUCGGCCUCUGAAUGGGCCAAAUCUAGGAAAUAUUACUCAAUAAUAUCAAAUAAGGCUAUUGAAAUUGAUUCCAAGUAAUAAAACUCUAAUCUUAUCAAAUACCUAAAGUAAGCCUAAAAGUCAACUCGGGCGAAAUGUGACAAAACUUAUCAUUUCGACUACCCAUUCUAAUACGAGUCCAAAUAUAUAAGUUCCAUCCAAAUUUGACUCCAAAUCUGGGUUCAAAUCUCUUCUUUCUUCUUUUUUUAAAGUUUUUCGAAAAUCCCCGAAUUUCUCACUUAGAUUCACCAAUCAAAUUUCAAAUUCAAGGAAGGAAUUACAAAUAAUAAUUAAAUCCAAAUCAAGAACACUUACCCAAUCCAAGUGGGUGAAAAUGCCUUACAAAUCACCCAAAUCCGAGCUCCCAAUCGUAAACUAUAAUAAAUGGAAAAAAAACCCUCGCUCAAGAUAUAUUAUACCUAGUUAUUUCGUUUCUGUGAUAAAAUCUACCGCUUUUGCAAUAAAAUCUCACUUCUACGAGUUUCAUUUAAUUCCCAACUUGUCGCACCUGCGGAGUAUCUUCUGCGAUAUUGCAGGUGCUAGGAAAAAUCCCGCUUCUCUGCAACUACCUCUCAAGACUACCUGCUCGGCUUCUGCCCCAAGGACUCUGUAUAUUCGAUCAGAUGCACCAAAAACAUUUGCAUCUUCGAACCUCUCCUGCCCCAGCCAUAACCUUGUUUCUGCGACCCAUGUCCCCUUCUGCGGACUCCAACCUACAGGCCUAACCUCGUAGGUGCAAGAACACUAGACAUAAAUGCUACAAGACACCAAACAAUCUAAAAUCGCUCUGAAACACACCGGAGGCCCCAUCCAAUCAUACCAAAUCCCAAAAAUGUAAAACGGAUAUACUCGAAGCCUCAAAUUAUGUAGGACAACAUCAAAAUCACAAAUCGUACAUCAAUUCAAGCUUAAUGAACUGUAUAACUUCCAAACUAACAAAACUUAAGCCGAACCACAUCUAACAAACUUGGAAUGACCCCAACUUUGCACACAAGUUUCAAAUGACAUAAAGAACUUAUUGCAACUCCCAAAACAACAAUCCAAAUCCGAUAGCAUCAAAGUCAACUCCCGGUCAAACCUAUAAAUUUUCCAAGCUUUCAAAGUUUCAACUUUCACCAAAUAGAACCAAAUCAAUCUAGGGACCUCCAAAUCCAACUUCGGACAUAAGCCUAAGUCCUAAACCACCAUACGAACUUAUUGGAACCAUCAAAAUAUUAUUCUAGGAUCGUUUACAAAAUAGUUAAAUCCCGAUCAACUCUUAUAACUUAAGUUUCUAACUUUAGUACUAAGUGUUCCAAUUCAUUUCAAAACCUUUCCGAAACCAAACCAACCAUCCUUGAAAGUCAGAUAACAAUAAAAUACACAUAUAUGUAGCAUCAAAUGGUCAAGUGAGACUCAAAUAUACAAAACAACCAGCAGAGUUGUUAUAGAAACCUAGCAUUUAACUAUUAUUAUUUUAAAACACAUAAAUAACGCAUGAUUGCUUGUACCACAUAAUCAUACAUAACAUUUUAAAAUAACUAUUUAAUAUAUAGACCAAUAUGCUUAGAAGAUAUGAACAUUUGGAAGAAGCUUUAUGAAAGAAAAAUGCUCAACAUAUCUUGAACGUUCUUCUCGCUAACAAUAGCUUUAUCUAUUUCAUACAACUCAUCGACAGUCAAUCUAUAUAAUACAAUAGAGAAUUCGCUAUUAACAACUGAUUCGGACUCUCAUAUGAAAAUACUCAUCCCUAGUUUAUUCAUUUUAGGUGUUAUGGAACUCAAUCCAUCUAUUAGAAAUCCCAAACCAAACUAUCCUAUUCAAGCCAACACUAUUCAUAUUCUUCAUUAGAACCCUAGCUGAAUAAUACUCAUUUAAGGAGUUUGCGUGAUUACUCACAAAAAUGGUAUUUUCUACUUCACAAAACCUUCUAAAUACUUAAUUCAUAAAAAUAUUUAAAGCUAACAUGAAAAAAUUGUCUCUUGAUAGCCGUCUUGAAUUUCGAAAUUCGUGAUGGUUUUGGAAAAAAUGAUUUUCAAUCAAGAAUUUAUAAAUUUUAAGGUUUAAUCUUGUUAAUAUAAGUAUACGUUGGGGAGUCGGAAUCAACUUAAAGUACCAUUAAAACUCACUUUGGCAGUUGAAGAGCCUUGGUCGAACGGGGUUGAGAGGAAUAAGCCCUAGCUCCAAUUUGGGUU
rnacentral:lncRNA from 1 species